CCCUUUUCACACAUUGGAUUCCACUUGCCUAAUCUCUGUGAUGCAUACCAAAAACUCCAGAAGCUUAAUCAGCCAAAAGAACUGAGGGGACAAGUCCCGUCUAUGGCCAAGUGCAUUAACUGAAAGAGAGCAAUCUUCACUAAUAACCCAAGUUAUUUGAAAGAUUGAGGAUAAACUUCCAAGGAUUGUUAACCUAAUGGCAUGAUCAUUCUGCAUGAUUCUAAAGAUCCUCUCUAAGUUCAUCAAGUCAUCAUGUUUGAAUAUUCUAGUGGUCCCUGCAUUACUAGUAUUCCUCUUCUUCAACAAAAAAGAAAAUUCAUAAAAUGAAAUCUACAUAACUGCAUCUCCUAAGGAUUAUUGGAAGACUACAAUAAAGCAUUUUGUCAAAUGAAUGUGCUAAGGUAAAAGAAAAUAAAUAAACAAAUAAUUAAAUGGA
rnacentral:lncRNA from 1 species